rnacentral:lncRNA from 1 species
UUUUGUUUAUUUUGUUUAUUUUUAAUAUUUGUAAUGAUAGCUAUAAUUGAAACAAGUUGAUAUGCAACUUGGUUUCAUAAUAAUAGCUAAUAUGCUUUCAUAAUGAUAGCUAUAAUGCUUUCAUCUUUUUAAUUAUUAAUUGGCAAGUUGCCAAAUUUAGUGGAAAUUGUUAGGUAAACAUUCCACUUUUGUAACUCUAUAUUUUGAAAUGAAAUGAAAAUGGUAUAAUUAUUCGGUUUCAAUCAAACAUAUUUUUUUCCUUUUGCUUGUUAACCGAGAGCUUAUGCUCUUGAUGCUUUGUGUUUUUCUACUUGCUGUUUGAAGAGCUUAUGCUCUUAGUGUUUCAUUGUUUGGUUGUUGCUGCCAUUUUAUCUAACAAAUGGUAAUCAGAGCAUCCUAUCUUUGAGGACCUUUGUGGUUUUGUUUUAGUUUUCAAAACAAAGUCAGUUUUGCUUCUGUAAAAUCAGUUUCAGCAACAUGAGCUUUGCACCUCCUCCACCACCAAUUUUUGCUGGAGAAAACUACCACAUUUGGAUAGUUAAAAUGAAAACUUACCUCCAAGCACUUGAUCUGUGGAGUGCAGUUGAAAAUGAUGUCGAGCCACUACCAUUGAGAGCAAAUCCAACCAUUGCUCAGAUCAAGCAACAUGGUGAGGAGCGAGCCAAGAAGCAUAAAGCCAUGGCCUGCCUAUAGAAUGGAGUGUCUGAUGUAAUUUUUACUCGCAUCAUGGCCUGUGACUCACCCAAACAAGCUUGGGACAAGCUGAAAGAGGAGUUCAUGGGAUCAGACAAGACAAGGCAACAACAAGUAAUUAAUCUUAGAAGGGAGUUUGAAAAUUUGAAGAUGAAAGAGUCAGAACCUAUCAAGCAAUAUUCUGAUAGGAUUAUGGCUACUGUCAAUAAUAUUAGACUCCUUGGAGAAGAUUUCAGUGACAGCAGGGUUGUUGAGAAGGUUAUUACCACCUUACCUGAAAGGUUUGAGUCAAAAAUCUCCUCAUUGGAGGACUCGAGAGAUCUCACAACCAUUUCUUUGUCUGAGUUGGUUAACUCACUUUAUGCACUUGAGCAGAGAAGAGCAAGUAGGCAGGAGGAAAGUCCUGAAGGUGCUUUUCAAGCAAAGGUCAGAGAAGGCUCCAGCUCAAGUCAGAAAGCUAAGAAGCCUUGGUUUGAAAAGAGGGAAAGAUCAAAGAAAGAUGUCGGUAGAAGGAGGUUUCCACCAUGCGUUCACUGCAAGAAGACUAACCAUUUGGAGAAGUAUUGCUGGAACAAACUAGACAUCCAAUGCAAGAGCUGCAAGCAGUAUGGUCAUCAUGAAAAGAUUUGUAGAAAUCAAGAAAAGUCACAAACUCUGCCAGUACAAGCCAAGACUGCUGAAGAUCUUCAAGCUCAGGAGGAGCAUGUCUUCACUGCCUCAUGUUCUACAACCACAAGCAAAUCCAAAUGCAGUUGGCUUGUGGAUAGUGGCUGCUCACAUCACAUGGCAUCAAAUGAGAGCCUGUUCAAGGAUCUUGACAGGAGUUUUGCUUCAAAGGUCAGAAUAGGCAAUGGGAAUCUGAUUGAAGCUAAAGGCAGAGGUGAUGUUGUGAUCAACACUAGUUAAGGUAACAAGGUUAUUUUAGAUGUGCUUUAUGUACCUGAAAUAGAUCAAAAUCUACUUAGUGUAGGUCAGCUGGUUAAGAAAGGCUACUCUCUAGUUUUCAAGAAUGAUUCUUGUGUUAUUAAUGAUAUUCUUGGUAGAGAAGUUGUUUCAGCACCCAUGGCAGAUAGGUGUUUUAUGUUGGAUGUGAGCCAACUUGAGAGAAGAGCCUAUACAAGUUCAGUUGACAAUGCUGAUCUGUGGCAUAGAAGAUUUGGCCAUGUCAAUUUCAGGUCACUCAAUUUGCUGCACAAGAUGAGUUUGACAGAUGCAUGAUUAAGGUUGAUGCAAAUGAGUCUGUUUGUGAAGUAUGUCAGCUUGGUAAACAGGCCAGGUUGCCUUUUCCAGUAAACCAAGCAUGAAGGGCUCGAGAAAGACUUGAAUUGGUGCACUCAGAUGUCUGUGGACCAAUGAAGACUCCUUCACUGAAUGGCAGUAAGUAUUUUAUACUGUUUAUUGAUGAUCUGACCAGAUUUUGCUGGGUUUAUUUCAUGAAACAAAAGUCAGAAGUGUUUAAAGUUUUUGGAAAGUUCAAGGCAUUGGCAGAAAAUCAAAUAGGCUGCAGGAUUAAGGCCUUGAGGACAGACAAUGGUUCUGAAUACUUGUCUGAAAGAUUUCAGAAGCUAUGUGAGCAGGCUGGGAUUCAUCAUCAAUUGACCACAGUGUAUACUCCUCAGCAAAAUGGAGUAUGUGAAAGGAAGAACAGAACAGUGAUGAACAUGACCAGGUGUUUGUUGUUUCAAAGCAAGCUUCCAAACAUGUUUUGGGCUGAAGGUGUCAACACCUCAGUGUACCUGCUCAAUAGGCUGCCAACACAUGCUUUAAAUGAUAAAACUCCUUUUGAAGCAUGGUAUGAUCUUAAACCAACAGUUUCCCAUUUAAAAGUGUUUGGUUGCAUGUGUUUUGUACUUGUCCCUGCAGAAAGAAGAACCAAGCUUGAGAAGAGAUCAGUUCCUGGUAUAUUUGUUGGCUACAGUAGCUGCAAGAAGGGCUACAGAGUAUUUGAUCCUUCAACCAAGAAGAUUUUGGUAAGCAGGGAUGUCAAAUUCGAUGAAGGAAGGUUUUGGAGUCUAGAUGGCUCUAACACAAGUCAGUUUGAAGAAGAGCAGAUUGACAACAAUCUGGAAUUGGCAGAAAAUGAAGUCAGUAAUGCCAAUGUAGAUGAUACUCCUGUGAGAGGGACCAGGUCUAUUGCUGAUAUCUACCAAAGAUGCAAUGUGGCCAUUGUUGAGCCUUCAAGCUAUGAAGAAGCUGCAAGAAGCAAGAGCUGGAAGAAGGCUAUGGAGGCUGAAAUCGACAUGAUCCAUAAGAAUGACACUUGGGAUCUAGUAGACAGACCUGAUCAGAAGAAGGUCAUAGGUGUCAAAUGGGUUUUCAGGACCAAAUUCAAUGCUGAUGGCUCUUUGAACAAGCACAAGGCAAGGCUUGUGGUGAAAGGGUACAAUCAACAGUUUGGCAUUGAUUUUGAGGAGACAUUUGCUCCAGUAGCAAGGCUGGACACCAUAAAGCUCCUGUUUGCUUUGGCUGCACAGAAACAGUGGAAGGUCCAUCAGCUUGAUGUCAAGUUAGCUUUCCUGAAUGGCUUCCUUAAAGAGGAGAUUUAUGUUGAACAGCCUGAUGGAUUUAAAGUCCAAGGAAAGGAGGACAAGGUUUACAAGCUGAAGAAGGCACUCUAUGGACUAAAACAGGCUCCUCGAGCCUGGUAUGACAGGAUAGAUGCUUACCUGUCUAAGCUCAAUUUCGAGAAAAGUUUGAGUGAGCCAACUUUGUUUAUAAAGAAGUCCAAAGAUGAGACUUUGCUGAUUGUCUCAAUAUAUGUAGAUGAUCUAUUAGUGACUGGAAGCAGGGUCGAUUUGAUUCAGGAGUUCAAGAAGAAUAUGCAAGACAUGUUUGACAUGACAGACUUGGGAAUCAUGACUUACUUCCUUGGUAUGGAAGUAGACCAGUCUGAUCAAGGCAUUUUUAUCAGCCAGCAUGCAUUUGCCUUGAAAAUUCUCACUAAGUUUCAUAUGGAAAACAGCAAACCAGUGAGCACACCAUUAGCUGUGGGAGAGAAACUAAGCAGCUUUGGAAAUGAAGAAAAGGUAGAUGAAAAGGAGUAUAGAAGCCUGAUUGGAUGUUUACUUUACUUGACAGCAACCAGACCUGACCUUAUGCAUUCAGUUAGUCUACUGUCUAGAUUCAUGCACAGCUGCAAUACAACUCAUUUGAAAGCAGCAAAGAGAAUACUCAGGUAUGUCAAAGGUACUUUGAAGUUUGGUGUAAUGUUCAAGAAAGGAAGUGAGCUGAAAUUAACUGGCUACUCAGAUAGUGACUGGGGUGGAUCAGUUGAUGAUAUGAGAAGUACUUCAGGCUACUUCUUUACACUUGGUUCGGGAGUUUUCAGUUGGAGUUCAAAGAAGCAACAAACUGUUGCUCAGUCUACUGCUGAAGCCGAAUACAUAGCAGCAGCUGCAGCAGUGAAUCAAGCCAUUUGGCUUAGGAAGUUGCUAUGUGAUUUGAAUGAAGAACAGCUCGAGCCUACUGAAAUUUUGGUGGAUAACCAGUCAGCAGUUGCCAUCUCUAAAAAUCCUGUUUUUCAUGGCAAAACCAAACAUUUUAAGCUCAAGUUUUACUUUGUUCGAGAAGUUGUCCAAUCCAAAGAAGUGAGUCUAAUACAUUGCAGCUCACAAGAUCAAUUGGCUGACAUUUUGACAAAGCCUCUUGGCACAAUCAGGUUUGAAUUUCUAAGGAAAUCAAUUGGUGUUUGUUGCCUACAGUCCAAAGAGGAGUGUUGAACAUGGACUGUAAAGCAACAAAGGAGCAACUUGGUGCAUUUUGUUUAUUUUGUUUAUUUUGUUUAUUUUUAAUAUUUGUAAUGAUAGCUAUAAUUGAAACAAGUUGAUAUGCAACUUGGUUUCAUAAUAAUAGCUAAUAUGCUUUCAUAAUGAUAGCUAUAAUGCUUUCAUCUUUUUAAUUAUUAAUUGGCAAGUUGCCAAAUUUAGUGGAAAUUGUUAGGUAAACAUUCCACUUUUGUAACUCUAUAUUUUGAAAUGAAAUGAAAAUGGUAUAAUUAUUCGGUUUCAA